rnacentral:rRNA from 1 species
UACGUAGGGUGCGAGCGUUGUCCGGAAUUAUUGGGCGUAAAGAGCUUGUAGGCGGUCUGUCGCGUCUGCUGUGAAAAUCCGGGGCUCAACCCCGGACUUGCAGUGGGUACGGGCAGACUAGAGUGUGGUAGGGGAGACUGGAAUUCCUGGUGUAGCGGUGAAAUGCGCAGAUAUCAGGAAGAACACCGGUGGCGAAGGCGGCUCUCUGGGCCUUACCUGACGCUGAGGAGCGAAAGCGUGGGGAGCAAACAGG